rnacentral:rRNA from 1 species
AGUUUGAUCAUGGCUCAGGACGAACGCUGGCGGCGUGCUUAACACAUGCAAGUCGAACGAUGAAGCCCUUCGGGGUGGAUUAGUGGCGAACGGGUGAGUAACACGUGGGCAAUCUGCCCUUCACUCUGGGACAAGCCCUGGAAACGGGGUCUAAUACCGGAUAAUACUUUCUCUCUCAUGGGGGAAGGUUAAAAGCUCCGGCGGUGAAGGAUGAGCCCGCGGCCUAUCAGCUAGUUGGUGGGGUAAUGGCCUACCAAGGCGACGACGGGUAGCCGGCCUGAGAGGGCGACCGGCCACACUGGGACUGAGACACGGCCCAGACUCCUACGGGAGGCAGCAGUGGGGAAUAUUGCACAAUGGGCGAAAGCCUGAUGCAGCGACGCCGCGUGAGGGAUGACGGCCUUCGGGUUGUAAACCUCUUUCAGCAG